rnacentral:rRNA from 1 species
UUUGAAAUCUGGCUUCGGCCCGAGUUGUAAUUUGCAGAGGAUGUUUCUGGCGCGGUGCCUUCCGAGUUCCCUGGAACGGGACGCCACAGAGGGUGAGAGCCCCGUAUGGUUGGACACCAAGCCUGUGUGAAACUCCUUCGACGAGUCGAGUAGUUUGGGAAUGCUGCUCAAAAUGGGAGGUAAAUCUCUUCUAAAGCUAAAUACCGGCCAGAGACCGAUAGCGCACAAGUAGAGUGAUCGAAAGAUGAAAAGCACCUUGAAAAGGGGGUUAAACAGUACGUGAAAUUGUUGAAAGGGAAGCGCUUGUGACCAGACUUGCGCCGGGCGGUUCAUCCGGGGUUCUCCCCGGUGCACUCCGCCCGGCUCAGGCCAGCAUCGGUUUUCGUUGGGGGAUAAGAACGGCAGGAACGUGGCCCUCCUUCGGGUGGGUGUUAUAGCCUGCCGUACGAUACCCUGACGGGGACCGAGGUUCGCGCUCCGCAAGGAUGCUGGCGUAAUGGUCAUCAGCGACCCGUCUUGAAACACGGACCAAGGAGUCGUCCAUUAGAGCGAGCGUUUGGGUGUCAAACCCGCACGCGUAA